GAUGAACGCUAGCGGCAGGCCUAACACAUGCAAGUCGAGGGAGAGGUUACCUUCGGGUAACCAAAACCGGCGCACGGGUGCGUAACGCGUAUACAAUCUGCCUUUCACAUAGGGAUAGCCCGAAGACAUUUGGAUUAAUACCUAAUGGUAUAUAAGAGCGGCAUCGUUUUUAUAUUAAAGCUACGGUGGUGAAAGAUGAGUAUGCGUUCUAUUAGCUAGUUGGAGAGGUAACGGCUCCCCAAGGCGACGAUAGAUAGGGGUUCUGAGAGGGAUGUCCCCCACACUGGUACUGAGAUACGGACCAGACUCCUACGGGAGGCAGCAGUGAGGAAUAUUGGACAAUGGUCGGAAGACUGAUCCAGCCAUGCCGCGUGCAGGAUGAAGGUCCUAUGGAUUGUAAACUGCUUUUGUAAGGGAAGAAUAAGGAGUACGUGUACUUUGAUGACGGUACCUUACGAAUAAGCAUCGGCUAACUCCGUG
rnacentral:rRNA from 1 species